rnacentral:rRNA from 1 species
CAUGCAAGUCGAGGGGUAGGGUUACUUCGGUAAUCUGAGACCCCCGCACGGGUGCNUAACGCGUAUGCAAUCUACCUUUUACUAUGUCCUAGCCCAGAGAAAUUUGGAUUAAUACCAUAUAGUAUAUUUGAAUGGCAUCGUUUGAAUAUUAAAGAUUUAUCGGUAAAAGAUGAGCAUGCGUCCCAUUAGUUAGUUGGUGUGGCAACGGCAUACCAAGACGAUGAUGGGUAGGGGUCCUGAGAGGGAGAUCCCCCACACUGGUACUGAGACACGGACCAGACUCCUACGGGAGGCAGCAGUGAGGAAUAUUGGUCAAUGGAGGCAACUCUGAACCAGCCAUGCCGCGUGCAGGAUGACGGUCCUAUGGAUUGUAAACUGCUUUUGUACGGGGAAGAAAACAAACUACGAGUAGUUAAUUGACGGUACCGUAAGAAUAAGGAUCGGCUAACUCCGUGCCAGCAGCCGCGGUAAUACGGAGGAUCCCAAGCGUUAUCCGGAAUCAUUGGGUUUAAAGGGUCCGUAGGCGGCCUUAUAAGUCAGUGGUGAAAGUUUUUGGCUUAACCAAAAAAUUGCCAUUUGAUACUGGUAGGGCUUUGAAUAUCUGUGAAGUUAACUAGAAUAUGUAUUGUA